rnacentral:rRNA from 1 species
AACGAACGCUGGCGGCAGGCUUAACACAUGCAAGUCGAACGCCCCGCAAGGGGAGUGGCAGACGGGUGAGUAACGCGUGGGAACAUACCCUUUCCUGCGGAAUAGCUCUGGGAAACUGGAAUUAAUACCGCAUACGCCCUACGGGGGAAAGAUUUAUCGGGGAAGGAUUGGCCCGCGUUGGAUUAGCUAGUUGGUGGGGUAAAGGCCUACCAAGGCGACGAUCCAUAGCUGGUCUGAGAGGAUGAUCAGCCACAUUGGGACUGAGACACGGCCCAAACGCCUACGGAAGGCAGCAGUGGGGAAUAUUGGACAAUGGGCGCAAGCCUGAUCCAGCCAUGCCGCGUGAGUGAUGAAGGCCUUAGGGUUGUAAAGCUCUUUCACAGAUGAAGAUAAUGACGGUAGUCGGAGAAGAAGCCCCGGCUAACUUCGUGCCAGCAGCCGCCGUAA